rnacentral:rRNA from 1 species
UACGGAGGGGGCUAGCGUUGUUCGGAAUCAUUGGGCGUAAAGCGCACGUAGGCGGCUUUGCAAGUUAGAGGUGAAAGCCCGGGGCUUAACCCCGGAAUUGCCUUUAAAACUGCAUCGCUAGAAUUGUGGAGAGGUGAGUGGAAUUCCGAGUGUAGAGGUGAAAUUCGUAGAUAUUCGGAAGAACACCAGUGGCGAAGGCGACUCACUGGACACAUAUUGACGCUGAGGUGCGAAAGCGUGGGGAGCAAACAGG